UUUUUUUUGUCAUUACGGUAAUGACGAAAAUCUAAUUCAUGUUACCAGAUGAAUAUAAAAAAAUGACAAUAAAAUCGCUUUCUCUUUACCGUAACUACCAUAAAAUAUAAUUUUCAUGACUGUAAUGGCAAAAAUCUAAUUUACAUGAUCAUAAUAAGAAAAAUCUAAUUCUCAAUACCAUAAUGAAAAAAAAAAAACAUUUUCAUUACCGUAAUAUUCUUAUUACUGUAAUGACAAAAAAAUAUUUUCUUCAAUACCAUAAUGGCAAAAAAAUCAAGAUCACAUUACUGUAAUGAUAAUAAAAUCUCAUUCUCAUUACCAUAAUGACAAUAAAAUAUUGUUCUCAUUACCAUAACAAUAAUAAAAAAAUCCUCAUUCUCAUUACCCUCAUGACAUUUUAAAUUAAAUUCAGUACAACAGUAAAAAGGAAUUAAUUUAUCCAUUCAAAAUGUAUAAGUUUUUCUUCUUUUUUUGCAUGUGGGAUGAAGUGAGAUUUACUCAAAUAGCGUAGUGUGAUUUAGACUUCAGUUGAUACUUAAAGCCAAGUGUGCGGUAGUGAUGUCAUUGGUUAAUCAGCCAAUCAGAUGCAGUUGUCUCCAUCAAUACCUUUUCAGGUUUUUAUUUUGUUGUUUGCCCUUUCCUUUAUCACUUGCAUUUUUUUAUAUAUAUAUAAUUUUGUAAAAGAUUGAUGUGUAAUGAUUUGUUGAUGGUUGAGCUUUAUUUCUCCGUUAAUCUUAUUUGCUUUUUUUGUUUUUGUCCUGGGUGUGUGAAAGAGAGGGAAAGCACAUCUUAUGCACUGAGUUAAAUUUUAAGACGUCUGAAAUCUGCUCUACAGACAUUUCUUUCUCUCAUGAUAGUGUGUGUUAGAGUUUGUCCUAUGACAGCAAGAAUCCUCACCAGGAAGCUUUUGCUGAGGCCUCUCUUGAUUAUUUCUCCCAGUUAAAGGCAUAGUUCAACCAAAAAUGAAAACUCUCAUCAUUUACUCACCCUCGUGACAUUCCAGACCUGUAUGCUGGUAUUCUUAGUGGAACACAACAACAGACUCCAAAAAGGACAAAAAAAAUCCAAGUGACUUAUUCCAAGUCCUCUGAAGCCAUAUGAUGUGUUUAUGUGAGAAAAAGAGCAGCAUGUAUUGUUUGUAUUCCUGUCAGUCUUCCUCCACUGAAGCUUUCAGAUUUCCUUCUCCAUUUCACAUAUUUAAAAAGCAGCGGCACAUUGACAGCAGACCUGGUGCAAUAAUAUGCCAUUUUCCUAAGAGUUUCAAAGGCGAGGAAGAUUAUCAGAAAAUUUUAACUGAAGAAAAUAAUAAUAAUAAAAUUUAACUUGAAUUUCAAUCUACUUUUAUGGUGAUUUUUGUCCUUUUUAGAAUUUGCAUGAAGAUUCUGUGUUCCAAAAAGAAAUAAAAUCACAGGUUUGGGAUGGCAUUAAAGUGAUUAAUGAUGACAAAGUUUUAAUUUUUGGCUACACUCUCCUUUUAAAGUCUGAUACAAAGACACACACAAACAACCUUCAGUUUCAGUAAUGUUUUGAUAGAGAUUUCUGCAUUGUAACUCAAUGUCUAUCUUCAUAUACUGUAAAGGCAUUAGUCAUGUGAACUGCAAAACCAGUGCUGUGAAUAAUUUUGUAUUUAUUUUUUAAAACCUUAUCGAAUUUCCACUUUACCAUAAAAACAGUCCGUUUUCUGUUUUCAGGCCAAACUUCAGUGUUUCAAAGGAUCGGUUUACGUGUGCAAGUGUGUGUGGUUCUUCUGUAGUUUUCCCCCUCUCUGGAGAUGAUGUGACACUCCUCUUGCAUACUCAGGAACAACACGCUGAGGCAGAUGAGAGAAGGGAAGGUGUGUGUGUGUGUGUGUGUGUUGAUGUAGAGGUGUGUGAGGUGUGCUGCGUCACACUGAAGUCCUCUUGUCUUAAAGACUAGCUGUAAAUUAUGCUCUUUCAAAACAAUGGCAUCCAAGAAUCAAUAUUAAUAAAAAAAGAUAUAUUAAUUCUCUGCA
ensembl:lncRNA